rnacentral:rRNA from 1 species
CGCCGAACUGCAGAGAUGGAAGUACCCGCUGGAUUUAAGCAUGUUGAAUAGUACUCUGAAGAGAUUGGAAAUUUCCCCUUAAAUGUGGACAUGAUAAAGUGGUGUUGAAUGUGUACCUGGGAGCGCUUGCCUACCCGAAGUCCAUCUCCGAUUCUGGCUUGGACUAUUCCCAUAGAGGGUGAAAGGCCCGUUCGGGUAGGCCAUGUUGCAAUAAGCGAUCCUCAGAUGUGCAUACUUUCGAGUCGGAUUGCUUGAGAAUGCAGUCCAAAGUGGGUGGUAAACUCCAUCCAAGGCUAAAUACUGGCACGAGUCCGAUAGUAGACAAGUACCGUGAGGGAAAGUUGAAAAGUACUCUGAAGAGAGUGGUGGGGUAGUCCCCGC